rnacentral:rRNA from 1 species
UCAUGACCAAAUCACCUGGAGUGCAUCCAAUCUCAUCAGUUCUUGGACGCUAAAGCAGGGGUUGAGCCUGGGUAGUUCUGGGCUGGGUGACCGCUGUGCAUGCCAGGUGGCUAUAGGGC